UACGUAGGGUGCAAGCGUUAAUCGGAAUUACUGGGCGUAAAGCGUGCGCAGGCGGUUUUGUAAGUCUGUCGUGAAAUCCCCGGGCUCAACCUGGGAAUUGCGAUGGAGACUGCAAGGCUAGAAUCUGGCAGAGGGGGGUAGAAUUCCACGUGUAGCAGUGAAAUGCGUAGAGAUGGUGGAGGAACACCGAUGGCGAAGGCAGCCCCCUGGGUCAAGAUUGACGCUCA
rnacentral:rRNA from 1 species